rnacentral:rRNA from 2 species
UGCAGUCGAACGGCAGCAUGAUCUAGCUUGCUAGAUUGAUGGCGAGUGGCGAACGGGUGAGUAAUACAUCGGAACGUGCCCUGUAGUGGGGGAUAACUAGUCGAAAGAUUAGCUAAUACCGCAUACGACCUGAGGGUGAAAGUGGGGGACCGCAAGGCCUCAUGCUAUAGGAGCGGCCGAUGUCUGAUUAGCUAGUUGGUGGGGUAAAGGCCCACCAAGGCGACGAUCAGUAGCUGGUCUGAGAGGACGAUCAGCCACACUGGGACUGAGACACGGCCCAGACUCCUACGGGAGGCAGCAGUGGGGAAUUUUGGACAAUGGGCGAAAGCCUGAUCCAGCAAUGCCGCGUGUGUGAAGAAGGCCUUCGGGUUGUAAAGCACUUUUGUCCGGAAAGAAAUGGCUCUGGUUAAUACCUGGGGUCGAUGACGGUACCGGAAGAAUAAGGACCGGCUAACUACGUGCCAGCAGCCGCGGUAAUACGUAGGGUCCAAGCGUUAAUCGGAAUUACUGGGCGUAAAGCGUGCGCAGGCGGUUGUGCAAGACCGAUGUGAAAUCCCCGAGCUUAACUUGGGAAUUGCAUUGGUGACUGCACGGCUAGAGUGUGUCAGAGGGGGGUAGAAUUCCACGUG